UCAUUUUUUAAAAACUUCCGCCUCCAACACUCUCUCUCUAUCUGCCCUCUCCUCUCUCUCUCCACAAAGCCCCUCCAAAUCUCGAUCUCCCCCCUCUCCUCCGAUCUAUCCGCGCUGCCUCCAACCACCAUGCCGCCGUCAACAGCCCUCUCCCGCCGUCGCCAUCACCGGCGAGAGACCGAACCAGCAACGCCAGCCAUGGCACCGCCGCUGCUCUCCUCUUUCUGCCACCAUCAACACCGGCGAACAGCGCGACCAGCCGCCGUCGCCCCCUCCUUCUCCGGCGAAGACACUCUCGCCGCCGCAGAGCCAUGCCAUUUGCGCCAUCACUUGCUUUGACCGAACCCCACGAGGGUGUCAAGGGUUCGAUUCCAAUGCUUUACAUGUCAAUUGCAUGAUGAAUUUGUCUCCGGUAAGGUCGUUCUCGGAUCUACUCUACUUGUUUCGGAAUAUGAAAUAUGUGGGUUAACUUGGAUCUGAGUUUCUCUAUUUUGAAUGUUCCGAUUUCAUCCCUGGCUAACGUUACUUUCUGAACUGGGCACUGAAUGACUUAAUUGUUAUUCAUCCAUGAAAUGAAUACAAAUUCUUCAUUUGUUUGUGAUGUUAUGUAUUGGUGGAGUGAUGUAUAAAUGUGUUGCUAGAACAUCUCAACGGAUUCACAUUCCGCCUCAUUUCAUAUGCUCCUAUUCUUUAUUCUGGCCAACAAGAAUAAGACAUUUUAUUUGAUUGAAAAUUCAACAACUUCAAGAACCCUGCUAAAUUCAAAAUGCACGACUGAACUUUAUUUUAUGGAACUGUGCAAGUAUGGAAGUAUUUUUUAUAAAAAAAAUUAUACUCUUCAAUUUUGGUGAUUUAGUAACUUGAAAAUGGUUAAUUAGUUACUUGAAAAUGGUUGUGUAGUUACUUGAAAUUGAAAUGUCUACUAGUUAUUUGAAAAUGGUUAAUUAUAGUGAAAUAAAAUGUCAAUUAGAUAUUUGAAAAUGAAGAUUCAAAAAAAAUGUCAAUUAGAUACUUGAAAGUGGAUACAUAUAGAAGUGUAGUUAUUUGAAAAUUGUUAAGUAUAGUGACUUGAAAAUGUGAAUUAGUUAAUUGAAAAUAGUUAAGUGUAGUGACUUGAAAUGCUAGUACAUGACUUGAAAAUGGUUAGGUGUAGUUACUUGGAAAUGGUUAAGUGUAGAGACUUUAAAGGAAUUUUAUUUUUAAGGUACUUGAAAUGUGGACUUGUAUUUUGAAUUUAGUUAAGUGUGGUCACUUGAGAAGUGAAUAAGUACUUGAAAAUGUUUAAGUGUAGGUAGUUGAAAUGUGGACUUGUGUUUUGAAUUUAGUUAAGUGUGGUCACUUGAGAAGUGAGUUAGUGACUUGAAAAUGCAUAAGUGCAGGUACUUGAAACGUGGAUUUGUGUUUCUAAUUUAGUUAAGUUUGAUUACUUGUGAAGUGAAUUAGUGACUUGGAAUGUUUAGAUGUAGUUACUUGAAUUAUGAACUUGUGUUUUGAAUAUAGUUAAGUGUGGUCACUUGAGAAGUGCAUUGGUGAGUUGAAAAUGUAUAAGUGUAGUUACUUGAAAUGUUUAAUAGUGAAUUAUUGGUGAGUUGAAAAUGUAUAAGUGUAGUUACUUGAAAUGUUUAAUAGUGAAUUAUUGUUUAGAAGGUGAUGUGGUUGAUGACUUUAUUAGUUGAAAAUGCUUAAGUUUUGGUGACUUUUAAAGUGAAUUUUUUUUUUUUUAUCAAUUUUACUAGAGUUAAAAAUCUAUCAUUUACUUUUUUGCAUGUGCGUAGUUCUCGAUUUUUAAGCAUAGUAUAUAUUUUGUCAAUGCGUGCAAAUACAUUUAUGUAGUUGAACAACUUUAUUUAGCUCUGUUUUAUCAUAACAUUCAGGGAUUGUGGAGUACUUGAGCGAAGGAAUACCAAUUUCUUCAGCAGAUGUUGAUGUAGCAUAUCAUCGAUUAAGAUAUGCAUCUCAUUUAUGAAAAUACGGUGUGGUUAAGUCAAAGAAAUAUUAUGUUAGAGAUAACAAUGAUCCUCCAAGAUCAAGGCCUAGUUUUGUUCCAUCACUUGCUGAAUUAUGGAUUGUUAGUUUAUAGAAUAGUUCAGAAAUUAACUGAUGUUUUGAAAAUUUUGAUUGGAACUUUAUUUUUAUAAUGACUGUUCAAGACAUGUUAUGUAUGUUUAUGCUCAAGUUAUAUGUUUUGAUUUCGGGAUAAAUUGAAUUAAAUGUCUUAUAAAUUUCAUGCUUAAGACUGCUGUAUGUUGUUGAAUGCUGUAUUUGGGAUUUGCAAUUUUAUUUUUUUUAAAAAAAAUUUUCAGAAAAACCGACCACAAGUGGUCGGUUUUUUAAUAAAUUUAAUUAUUAAUUUUAUAAAAAUUGACCACAUGUGGUUAGUUUUUCAAUAAAUUUAUUUAUUAAUUUUAAAAAAAUGUGGUCGGUUUUUUUAAAAUUAAUAAAUAAAUUUAAUAAAAAUUCCUGCCACAUAUAGUCUG
rnacentral:lncRNA from 1 species